AGAGUUUGAUCCUGGCUCAGGACGAACGCUGGCGGCGUGCUUAACACAUGCAAGUCGAACGAUGAACUCCAGCUUGCUGGGGGGAUUAGUGGCGAACGGGUGAGUAACACGUGGGUAAUCUGCCCUCGAUUCUGGGAUAGCCCGGGGAAACCCGGAUUAAUACCGGAUAGCCUCUCGAGCUUACGAGCUCGUGAGAAAAGGUAGCUUCGGCCUCCGAUCGAGGAUGGGCCCGCGGCCUAUCAGCUUGUUGGUGGGGUGAUGGCCUACCAAGGCGACGACGGGUAGCCGGCCUGAGAGGGUGUCCGGCCACACUGGGACUGAGAUACGGCCCAGACUCCUACGGGAGGCAGCAGUGGGGAAUAUUGCACAAUGGGCGCAAGCCUGAUGCAGCGACGCCGCGUGAGGGAUGACGGCCUUCGGGUUGUAAACCUCUUUCAGUACCGACGAAGCGCGAGUGACGGUAGGUACAGAAGAAGCACCGGCCAACUACGUGCCAGCAGCGGCGGUAAUAC
rnacentral:rRNA from 1 species